rnacentral:rRNA from 1 species
UACAGAGGGGGCAAGCGUUGUUCGGAAUUACUGGCGUAAGGACGCGUAGGCGCCUUCUAAGUCGAACGUGAAAUCCCCGGGCUCAACCCGGGAACUGCGUCCGAUACUGGAAGGCUUGAAUCCGGGAGAGGGAUGCGGAAUUCCAGGUGUAGCGGUGAAAUGCGUAGAUAUCUGGAGGAACACCGGUGGCGAAGGCGGCAUCCUGGACCGGCAUUGACGCUGAGGCGCGAAAGCCAGGGGAGCAAACGGG